GACGAACGCUGGCGGCGUGCCUAAUACAUGCAAGUCGAACGAAGUGGGGACGGGUGAGUAACACGUGGGUAACCUCCCAUCAGAGGGGAUAAAAAUUGGAAACAGGUGAUAAACUGAUAACGAUGGAGGACGCCGCGGUGCAUAAGCUAGUUGGUGAGGUAACGGCUCACCAAGGCAACGAUGCAUAGCCGCCUUGAGAGGGUGAUCGGCCACACUGGGACUGAGACACGGCCCCGACUCCUACGGGAGGCAGCAGUAGGGAAUCUUCGGCAAUGGACGAAAGUCUGACCGAGCAACGCCGCUUGAGUGAAGAAGGUUUUCGGGUCGUAAAACUCUGUUGUUAGAGAGGCGGUAUCUACCCAGAAAGCCACGGCUAACUACGUGCCAGCAGCCGCGGUAAUAC
rnacentral:rRNA from 1 species